UACGUAGGGGGCUAGCGUUGUCCGGAUUUAUUGGGCGUAAAGAGCGUGUAGGCGGCCAGGUAGGUCUGCUGUGAAAACUCGAGGCUUAACCUCGAGACGUCGGCGGAAACCAUCUGGCUAGAGUCCGGAAGAGGAGAGUGGAAUUCCUGGUGUAGCGGUGAAAUGCGCAGAUAUCGGAAGGAACACCAGUGGCGAAGGCGGCUUCCUGGACUAAUACUGACACUGAGGUGCGAAAGCGUGGGGAGCAAACAGG
rnacentral:rRNA from 1 species